rnacentral:lncRNA from 1 species
AAAUCAUUUCUAGUCAUCAUUCCAUUUCAACCCAUAUACAUUCAUACUUUCAACCUAAUUUAUGCAUGUAAACAGAGCUCUAAAUCAUGGCGUGUUUGUUUUCCUUUUUCAACAAGUUUAAAAUAUGGGGGAAAUAUAUGAUGAUAUAAAUCCAAAUAAACUAGAAGAUUGAUCCGCGCGCGUUGCGCCAUGAUACGUGGUCGAAAACCGGUAGUUUAAGGAGCUUUUAGGGAACUUUACGGGUCACCGGAGUGAAAACGGAACCACCGGGACGCGAAACGCGUCAACCGGACUUAAGAAAUGGAAAAACCAGAAAGAUAAAGUUUCGGGGGCCGUCGUCGACGACCAUAUGAUCCGUCGCCGACGGCUUGUGUAAGUUCCGUCGCCAGAAUUCACCGUAAGCAUCAAGAUAAGCUGUCGGCAAGAAUUAAAUAACCACCGACCGUCGCCGACGGGGCUUCAAGCCGUCGGUGACGGCCUCUCUAUGUUGCCGUCGUGAAUUUUCACUUGUUUGGUUACGGGAACGAGUCAAGAAGGGUUGUUGGCCAUUAUUGUUGGGAGUUACACACUUUUGAGAGUUUGAAUAUCACUUGGGAGCCUAUUCUCAUCAUCUAUCACCUACCAAUUUCACCAACCAUCAUUCCUAUAAUCCGAAUCAACAACCAAAUCAUCACAAUUUCCAUUCGAUAACUCUAAUCACCAUCUUCAUUCCAAUCCAUCAUCACCAACCUUCCAUAACCCUAACCAUUCAUCCAUUCAUCCACCUUCAAGCUUCAAGAUGACCCAAUUCAAGCUUCCAUCAUCCGUUGAUCGUGCCUUUUUCACCAUGAGCGGCUAAAUUCUUGGAGGUUUCACCCUGGUGUAGGUUUUUGUAAGUUCUUAGGGUUUAAACAUUGUAUUUGAGAUUCGAUUUGUGACAAGUUGUGAUUUGAUUUUGAAACUUAUGAUAAUUGUCUUGCAUUGGUAUUGUAUUCGUGAAUUGUCGAGUGAAGAUUAAAUUUGACUUUACGAAAUGUUUAU